rfam:Pyronema omphalodes CBS 100304, CBS100304, WGS project CATG01000000 data, contig: Pcon_v1_contig284
GGCCGCAUGGCCCAAUGGCAAGGCGCUUGACUACGAUUGUGUAAUCAAGAGAUUGCAGGUUCGAUUCCUGCUGUGGUCA